rnacentral:rRNA from 1 species
AAUAUUGGACAAUGGGCGCAAGCCUGAUCCAGCCAUGCCGCGUGAGUGAUGUAGGCCCUAGGGUUGUAAAGCUCUUUUGUCCGAGACGAUAAUGACGGUACCGGAAGAAGAAGCCACGGCUAACUUCGUGCCUGUAGCCGCGGCAAUACGAAGGGGGCUAGCGUUGCGCGGAAUCACUGGGCGUAAAGGGCGCGUAGGCGGACGUUUAAGUCAGGGGUGACAUCCCGGGGCUCAACCUCUGAAUGGCCUUUGAUACUGGAUGUCUCGAGACCGGAAGAGAUAAGAGGAACUGCGAGUGUAGAGGUGAGAUUCGUAGAUAUUCGCAAGAACACCAGUGGCGAAGGCGGCUUACUGGUCCGGUUCAGACGCUGAGGCGCGAAAGCGUGGGGAGCAAACAGG